AGUUGUGAUUAAUUAAAUAUAUCACCAACUCCAUAUUCCUUACCAACUCCAUAUUCCUUUUAUUGAAUCAAUUAAAAGGAAUAUAACAAUGUCUAAGGUUGUAUUGAGUGUAUUCCUUAGUGCUAUUUUGAUUUGCUCAAUUUUUACUCAAGAGGUGGAUGCCAAAGCUAUUAGUUAUGGAGCAAUACAACGUGAUACUAUCUCAUGCAGCAAAAAAAAUCCUCAAGCAUGCCAAAAGAAGACUCCAGCUAACCCUUAUACAAGAGGUUGUGAACAUAUAGAAAGAUGUCGCGAUUGAUAUAAUGAAGCUAAGGAAGAGGAUGACGAAGAUAAACAAUAAUUAAAAAGUAGUGAUUUUAUGUCAUAAAACGAUACUUCCUCCGAGAUAAAAUAUAAAAGAAAAUAAUAAUUAAAAAAUUAAUGUAUUCAUUCUUAAUUUUAAAUUUUAUAUAUUAAUUUUUUAUUAUUAUUUAGUUCAAUAAAAUUUAUUAUGUAUAAUAAUUACGUACGUAUCUUGACAUAUAUACUCCUCUAAAAUGAACAAAUUCACAUGCAACAAUGAUGAUAUCUUGACAUAUAUAUUAAUCAUUGAUUUUAAUUUUAAUUUAUUUUAGAGGAGCUAAUAUUCCCAACUGUUUUAUUCUUUUACUGAUUAAGAUUUGGAUACUUUGAAUAGUUCCAAAAUCAACUUCAAUGGGUACAUUUUGUAUUUGUUUGAUAUCAAUAUAUUAAAUCAGUGAGAAUAUAUUUUUUCAACAUGUGAGCAUUGAGUGCAUUUGGUUAUUGUUUUAUUGAUUUUUUUAUUUAUUGAGUUUUUAUUUAUCCGUGAGUAUGCACGGCGUUAUAUCAAGACAGUAAUUAGCAUACGAAAAUUUACAUAACUUAUUUAAUUGUAAAAUUAGGUAAAGAAAAAUUAAAUUAAAUUGAUAUAAAUAUCUAAAAUACUCUUUAAUAUCAUUCAAGCAGUGGAACAAAUUAAUAAAUUAAUAAUUUUUUUUACUGAUAUAGUUGUUGUGUAUUAUAUGUAGCAAUCACCAUUAAUCACUAUUAUGUAAGUGUCAUGCUCAAGUUCUGUACUAAAAUGGCUUAGUAAACAAAUUUACCUCAAGAAAUAACUUUUUUUUUCCUUCAUAAUUGGAAUUCUAAAAGUUGAAGAAUCCUCAAAAUUACUUUGGGUUUAUUUUGUUUUUAACAGUGAAUUAUUUUAAAAAUUAAAUUUUUUAAUAAUAAUGUUAUGCGGCAAGCCACAUCAACGUUUUUUUAACAAAAAUAGACCAAAACAGAAGAAAAAAAAUUAAAAAUAAGAAGAAGAAAAUAAAGGAUGUUAUUUUGCACGUUUUCAAAGAUAAAUGACUCAACUUAAAAAAAAUAUAAGAGAGAAAAUUGUUACAACUAGUGGCUUGCCACCUCCAAAGUCCCAAAAAAUAUUACUAUAAUUUAAUUAAUAAAAAUUGAUGUGUUUGGUCGAUUAUAAAUCAAAUUAACUUUUAUUGAUUAAAUUUUAACAUAAAUGUCUCUCAUAAAAAUGAUAGAAAAAAGUAAUUUAUAAUAUAAAUUACAAAAACAAUUCUACCAUAAUUACAAAAUAAACUAAAUUUUUUAAUCAAAAUUUCAACUAUGUUUUUGAGUUUCACCAGAUGAUGCAUGAUCCCAAAAAAUUAACCUAAACUAUAUAAAUUGAUUUGAUAUUUUUUGUAUGGAUUCAAGUCUAAAUUGAACCAAACUAAUAAAUUUAAUAUUUAUUUAUUUGAGUAUAGUUUCACAUAAUUUGAAAUAGACAGUUAAAUAUUCAAAUCAAACCUUUAUUUUGUAUCCACACUAUGUCAAUAUUGUUAUCUUAAAAAUAUGUUAUGUUUAAAUAUAUUUUAAUAAUUAUAUAAUAUUUUAGUCUUUUUAUAGUUAAUAAACUUGUUUUAAUAGUACAAAAAUUGUGUUUUAAAAAAAUAGAUUUUUAAAAAGUUAAUUUUUAAUUAUUAAAAAUGUCAGCAUAAAUUUGAUCCACUACCUCCAUUUGAUAUUAGGGGUUUGAGUGUCCUAAACUUACAAGUUAAAAUUCUUAUAUAUGAAAUUACAUAUUUUAUUGGUAUAUUGAUAUUUUUAAAAAUAUCAACACAAAUUCGACUCACUAUUUCCCUCUGAUAUUAAUUAGAGAUUUGACUGUCAAUAUACUUUUGUAAAUUUAAAAGUUAAAAUUCUUACAUGUGAUAUUAUAUGUUUUAUUAGUAUGUUGAUGAAAUUGUAAAAAAAUUUACUCAUAACUACAAAUUUCAGAGUUUAAAUCUAAAAUAUUAUAUUCAAUUUAAUAUCAACAUUUAUCAGUUAAAUUAAAUCUAUAUACUUUAUUUAUCAAUUUAAAUUUUUAAAAUUUGAUCAUACCAAUAUUUAUGUUCAAUUUCCGCCAUUGGUUACAACCAAAUAAAAUAAAAGAUGUUAGAUUUAAUUUUGUCUAAAAUUUAAACUAAAAUGCACCAUAGAAGUAAAAUCAAGGUCCAUUAAAGCGUCCAAAUGGUCAUAUUUUUUACUUAGAUGUCUAAGUGAGUACCACAAUUACACAGUGUUUCUUUAUAAUUUUUUUAAGAUUAAUACUUAAUAAAUAACUAAUUUCUAGAGUCAUUCACCUCUUAAUAGCCACCCUUUUUUCAUCCAGAAUGAGGAACCCAAUAGGUGGUGCUUCCUAUUAGCUAGGUAAUUAAAAAAACUCCUAUUGGAUAUGCUUUUAAUACUAUUACACUCAAAUUUUGACGCAACUAUUUGUUUGUAAUUUCUACUUUACGUAAUUUUAAGAGUGAAAUAUAUAUUUAAUCAUUUGUAUUUUUCUUGAAUAUUCAUAUACUAUGUAAAGAAGAAUUAUAGAAAAAUAAAAUAUAUAGAUAAACUAUAAGCUAAUGAAAUAAUAAUUUUUGAAGAUGUUUUUAUAGUAAAAUAUAAUUUCAAUACGUGUAUGAGACUCUAAUUAUAAUUUAUUAUAAAAUCAUAUAUAAGAUGAAUGUUUAUCAUGAUCAAUUAUUGAAAAAGUGAUUUAUCUCAAGUCAAUUAGUUUAAUGAUAAAUCUAUGAUUCAUUAGUUUGUAUCUCUUAAAUACAUAUGAGAAAUGUUGUUAACUAAUUGUUUAGUUAAACAAUGAUCAUUCACAAAUCAAUUAGUUAAUAGAUAAAUAUGUCUUUCAUUAUUAGUGUGUGUCUCUUGAAUAGUUUUAAAGAUAGAGGUAAUGAAAAUGCAAUACACUAUAAUUUAUAGUAUAAAUUAUACAUGAGACAAAUAUUUGUUAUUGAUAAAUUAGUUAAAAUAUGAUCAUUUACUAAUCAAUUAAUUAAGAGAUAAAUGUAUUUUGAAUAAUUUGUGUGUCUCUUGAAUAUCAAUACACUAUAAAAGAGAGAAUUAUACACAAAUAACAUUAAAUAGAUUAAAAAAACAAAUUGGCAUAUGAGAGGUAGUCAUAAAGCAUUACGAGUGCAGCAGUACCACAUGCGUAUCUACUGAUAUCUUUUUAAAUCUCUGAUGUAUGAUUUUUAUCUAAGAAAUAGUACUUCAUACCAAAUUCAACAAAUACACCCUAGGAGCACAAUCAAAUCUCUUUGAUACAUGUUAUCUCUUGAAUACACAACAAGAAAACAUGUAUUUUGUGAGGGCCAAAAGCCCUCACAAAAGCCAAAAAGCAGCCCUCACAAAGUGAGACAUUUGUGGCGGUCUGUGCCUUCACAAAGGCAUACUUUUGUGGCUGCAAAGGCCCUCACAAAAGACAACAUAUUUUUCAAACUUUGUGGUUGUUUUGGCCGCCACAAAUGUUUGUGACCAACUUAUUUGUGGCUGCCUAAGGCUGCCACAAAUAGCCCCUUUGUGGUUGUUUUUUUACCCUUUGUGAGGGCUUUUGGCCCUAAAAAAUUCCUUGUUUUCUUGUAGUGGUAGUCCGGUUGACAGGUCUGUCCUAAGGACAUAUGGGGAUCAUGUUGCGACACGACUAUGAGACGGUGUGGUAAAUUUUUGAAUCAAAUUAAAUUUUUAAUAGUUGCUUAAUGUGUUUUAACUUAUAUUUGUUCCGUUAAUUUAUUUCAAGAUUGCGGAGAGUUAAGGAUUUUUAACAACGGCAAAAAAUUAAAAGAAGCUGUCAUUGUUUAAAUUAAAUUUAAAAUAAAAUAUUUAAAUUAUAAUUAUAAUUAAAGAUUAAUUUAAAUUACAAAUAAAUUAAAAUUAAAAUUAAAUUAAAAUUUAAACUUACCAAAAUUGAAUCAAGGUUGGAUGAAUAUUUUUUGUAGAGAGAAGGUGGAGAUAAUAGUUAGAAGGAGGGUUUAGAGAGAAGUUGGAAGUGAAAAAUGAUAAGAGGAGUGAAGUAAUAUAUAUAAGAUUGGGUUGAUCCUUUGUGGCAGCCAAAGCAGCCACAAUAAGCAACGGCUAUGUGUCAUUUGUGGCGGCCAAAAUGGUUAAAAAGGCAUGGAUUUGUGGCGGCCUAGACGGCCAGAAAAGCCAACGUCUCUUUAUUCCUUUGUGGCGGCCUUUGCAGCCACUGGAUUUUGUGGCUGCCUAAGCCCUCACAAAAUCACAACGUUGUGAUUUUGUGAGGGCUUAGGCAGCCACAAAAUCCAGCUAAAUUUUUAACCCUUUGUGAGGGUUUUUUCAGCCACAAAUAAAGACCAAUUUCAAUUUUUGUAUUUGUGAGGGCUUUUUCGGUCACUAAUUUGUGAUGGUUUUUUUCGGCCACAAAAUAUUUAUAAAAUUGGCCACAAAUUAAUGUUUUUCUUGUAGUGAUACUUCAUUCAACCAAUCCAAUUUGUUGUACGCAACUCUUGUCUUUCUAAUUCCCUUACAUAUCUCAACAACAAACACCCCUAAUAAAGUUAUGACAAGAUUACAUGUCAUUACUUUAUUAAGGUCGAAUGGUGGAUUGUAGAACUCAUUUAAAUAUUCUUAAUGCACCAUAAAUAAUAAUUAAUUAAACACACUUCACCAAACCACAGUCUGGCAGAAACAUAAUACUGGUAUCGUGUAAAGAUAAACAUAUCAUAUGGUUCUCCAGGUUAUCGUGUAAGCUCUCCUUCUACUAUACAAAUCCAUGAUGCAUAUGGUCCUCAUGUUGUACAACCUCAUCCUUCUCUUGUACAUAUGUUGCAUGUACAAACUACUCUUGCAUAGUAACACCAACCUUUAUAUGACCUUGCUCUCCCUUAUCAUUCUCUUCCACUAUAAAUUGACAUCUCCUUCGAGAUAUUGUGGAUCGAAUUCUUUCAGAAGGAGCAUCCAUCAUACAUGAUGAGGUAUCAACAUUGCGUUCUAUUCGCAUUAUUUUGAGUGAGCACCUGCACUCACUCAAAAUAAACAAAUAGGGAAAAAAGAAAUUAAAAAAUAAAAAUAAAAAAUAGGGGGAAAAAUUCAGAAAAUUUGUGGGUUUCAAGAUUUCCAUAACGAACUGUGUACCGAAAAAUUUAAAUAAAAAAUUCGGUAAAAUAGAAAUUUUUUGCACUCACUUGUGUACUGAAAAAUUAAAAUGGUAUUAUGAGUGGAAAUGAAAACUUUAAUAGUUAUAUUGUAAGAACAUUAGUGCGCCUAAGAGUGGGGGUGAAUUAGGUGUUUAGAAAAUUUUCUAGUUUUUAGAGACUUAGUGAAUUAUUUUUCUGUUUAUGAUUAAUGGAUGUAAAAAUAUAAAUGGCAGAAAAAUAAAGAACACAAAGAUAUUAUCCUGGUUCCCCUUAUGACCAAGGGUACAUCCAGUCGUCUUGCACAUCACAAGUCCCACCCUAGGACCUUUGUUACAAACUCCUAACAAUCACCCUAAGAUAGCACACCACUAUCUUAGUUUACAAAACUUGAAGAAAGAAUACCACUUUCCUCAAUUUACAACACUUGAAAAAAGUACACCACUUUCCUCAAUUUACAACACUUGAAUGGUUUAACAAUAUUGAUUUUGACUUAGAUCAAUAUGAUAUAACAGUUGAUGUACAAUGAUAACAAUCCAAUAUAAUUUCAAGUACACUAGUGAACUUUUCUCAAUGAUAUGAAAAUGUAAAAUCUGUACUUGAAAUAUAAAAGUGAAACUUUGAAAAAAUCAAAAUAUUUUAGAAAGUUUGUUCAAGGUUUGGUUGUAGGAUUGAUUAUGUUUGAUCUGAAGUUAUGAUGUAUUUAUACUCCAUAAACGUCUCUUCAGAAUUGUGGUCAUUGAUCCAAGAGGUUUGACGAAGAAAUGCAAUGAUCCAGAACCAUUUCAGAAUUGAAAAAUUGUAUUGUUUCUAGUUGUAUUCGACUACAACUUGUGUGUAGUCGAAUACACAUCCUUUUAACGUUCAAUUUUAUUUGAAUUUUGAAGCUUGUAUUCGAAUACACAUUCUUGUAUUCAAAUACAGAUGUUUGAAUUUGGCUACUAACUUGUCUGUAUUCGGCUACAACAUGUUGUAUUCGAAUACAACAUUGUAUUUUGUCAAAAAUAUUAUUUUCAAACAUUAUUUAUAUAUUUUGACACUUUGAAAAUCCUUUUGAUGUGUAUGCUAAAAUGAAAGAUUCUCAUGUGUAUUUGAAAUAUACGAAUAUUAGAUUGCAUCAUGUACCUUUACAUUAUAAAACUUCUAGCAUAUUUGACCAUAGUUGUCUUUGAUGUUUGACUUCUUUUUGAGCUUGCAACUUGAUCACUUUCCUUGGUCUUUGUCUUCAUCAAAAACAUGUAUUUUACAUAUAUGAGGGUAAAUAUGUCAGUCCAUUAUAUUUAUGGAGGUAGGAGUAUAAUAUAGAGGUACAAGGUAAAAAUUUCCUUCACAAAUGGUAACAAAAAACCAAUACUUUUUAUCGUCACAAAAGUUUAUGAUCGAAUUAUUUGUGUUUGCUUAAACUGCCACAAAUACGAUUUUUGUGGUUAUUUUCCUCCUUCUUGUGCUUGAAUAUGUUUUUGAAUAAUGUUCUUAUGCACGAGUACACGAGAAUACCCUAAUUCAACGACUUUUCAUAUUCUCACUUCUUUUUGUGUUGUUUGACGUCAAAGAGAAGAACAAUAAUAUUUUAUCCAAUUAUGAACUUUCUUUGUAUCAAGUAGAGCAGCACAAAUAGUUUAACUUUUGUUAUUAACUUAAUGGCAAGCAAAUAUGUGAGAUUGUAAGGCUGUGAUUUUUGUAUUAGCCAUCCAUGAGAUAUAUAUGAUGAGACUAAUAGUGUGAUGAGGAAUCUCAAUAAAGUACUUUUAGUGUAAUAUUUCUUCAGCAAAAUAUUAUAAUAUGUUUCCCUGAUCUUAAUUUUUUUUUUUUUUAAUUUGAUCAUUUGUGUAUAACUUAAUAAUAAUGGUAUGUUUUUACGAAAUUCAAAAAAUCUAUCGUCAUCUUUAAAUAAAAUUUGUAAAAUUUAUUAUUAUUUUUAACAAAAUUUAAAUUUUCAUUAAAUUUAUAAUUUCAAUAUUCAAAUAAACUCAUAUUUCAAUAUGCAAUAAUUAGAAUAACAUACUUGAAGUUAGGAAAUCCCUCUUUCUUUCAACACAUAUAUGACCUCUCACAUAUAUUCUCCAUUUAUUACCCAAAUAUUUCAGUAAAAAAAAAAGUGAAUAUUGGUAAUAUUUUAAGACAUAAAAAAUUAAUUUAAAAUUAAAUAAAGAAUCAAAUAAAAAAAAGAUAAAAUAUUGAAUUGUUAUCUGACAUUAAGUCAAGAGAUCACAAAAUGUAUUUUGCCUAUUUUUUAUUUCAUAUGUAAUUGAUUUACUUUUUAAUUUUUUUGUUAUAUAAGAUUGUGUUUCGAUGUUUCUAAAUUAUUAUUUCCACAAUAAUCACGAUAAUUUAAUGGUUAAAUUUGAGUUUGUCGAGAAGGUAGGUCAUUAGAAGACAUUUAUCUAUUAGAAGACAUUUAUUUUCAAUUUCUGAUUUUGUCAUUUCCACAAUAAUAGUUUUUUUUUUUUUUAACUAUUAGAAGACAUUUUUUAACUAUUAGAAGACAUUUAUCUUCAAUUUAUAAAUUUGUCAUUAAGCAUAUGUAUGCUUUGUUACAACCAUAAAUCUAUAUUGUUAUCGACACACAAAUUGAUUCUCCUAGUCUUGAAAACCUAUAGGCCUCUUAACAAACAAAAAAUUAAGUAGUUUCUAAAUAAUUGUUAAAAAAAUUUUAAAAUUUUGACAAAAUAUCCUUUAUAAUUUCAACAUUUUCAAAUAUCAAAAUCUUAUUUGAAACAUAAAAUUAUGUAGUGUCUCAAAAGGACAAUUCUAAGAGUUUUAUACACCUCAAAAAUCCUUCUAAAAGUUAUCAUUUGAUGCAACUGCGAUCAAACAGAAGUUUUUGUAUAAAAAAACCACUUUCAUUUUAAGAAAAAGAAAAAAGACUUGUAAACAUCCUACACGAUUAUUAUGUUACGUUAUAUUGAGUAAUUUUUUUACAACCAUAACUUUUUUUAUCUUUUGACUGUUUAUUCUCUCAGAUGACCAAAAAUCUCCUUCAUUGUAGAAGAAAUGAAAGGUUGUUGUCUUUGCAAACUUAGAUUCAAUAUUUUAUAGUUGCUAUAAUUACAUGAAUGGAUAAUUAUAGGAAAAAAAAAUGUAUUAUUUAAGCAUGCAUACCCUCCUAAAACAAUUUGAGUUGUGAUUAAUUAAAUAUAUCACCAACUCCAUAUUCCUUACCAACUCCAUAUUCCUUUUAUUGAAUCAAUUAAAAGGAAUAUAACAAUGUCUAAGGUUGUAUUGAGUGUAUUCCUUAGUGCUAUUUUGAUUUGCUCAAUUUUUACUCAAGAGGUGGAUGCCAAAGCUAUUAGUUAUGGAGCAAUACAACGUGAUACUAUCUCAUGCAGCAAAAAAAAUCCUCAAGCAUGCCAAAAGAAGACUCCAGCUAACCCUUAUACAAGAGGUUGUGAACAUAUAGAAAGAUGUCGCGAUUGAUAUAAUGAAGCUAAGGAAGAGGAUGACGAAGAUAAACAAUAAUUAAAAAGUAGUGAUUUUAUGUCAUAAAACGAUACUUCCUCCGAGAUAAAAUAUAA
rnacentral:lncRNA from 1 species